GUCAGCAGCCAUAUCACCCUGCAACUCACAACUGGCAACCCACUGCUGCUAAGCAGGUGUGAGCCUGGUCAGUACAUGGAUGGAGACCUCCUGGGAAAAAACAAGGUUGCUGCUGGAA
rfam:Lepisosteus oculatus linkage group LG8, whole genome shotgun sequence.